rnacentral:tRNA from 1 species
UGAGGAGUAGAUCAAUUGGCAGAUCAUCUGACUCUGGAUCAGAGGGUUGAAGGUUCAAAUCCUUCCUCCUCAG